rnacentral:rRNA from 1 species
UACGGAGGGGGCUAGCGUUGUUCGGAAUUACUGGGCGUAAAGCGCUCGUAGGCGGCUUUGUAAGUUAGAGGUGAAAGCCCGGAGCUCAACUCCGGAAUUGCCUUUAAGACUGCAUCGCUAGAAUCAUGGAGAGGUGAGUGGAAUUCCGAGUGUAGAGGUGAAAUUCGUAGAUAUUCGGAAGAACACCAGUGGCGAAGGCGACUCACUGGACAUGUAUUGACGCUGAGGUGCGAAAGCGUGGGGAGCAAACAGG